rnacentral:rRNA from 1 species
AGUGAACGCUGGCGGUAGGCCUAACACAUGCAAGUCGAACGGCAGCACAGUAAGAGCUUGCUCUUACGGGUGGCGAGUGGCGGACGGGUGAGGAAUACAUCGGAAUCUACUUUUUCGUGGGGGUUAACGUAGGGAAACUUACGCUAAUACCGCAUACGACCUACGGGUGAAAGCAGGGGAUCUUCGGACCUUGCGCGAUUGAAUGAGCCGAUGUCGGAUUAGCUAGUUGACGGGGUAAAGGCCCACCAAGGCGACGAUCCGUAGCUGGUCUGAGAGGAUGAUCAGCCACACUGGAACUGAGACACGGUCCAGACUCCUACGGGAGGCAGCAGUGGGGAAUAUUGGACAAUGGGCGAAAGCCUGAUCCAGCCAUACCGCGUGGGUGAAGAAGGCCUUCGGGUUGUAAAGCCCUUUUGUUGGGAAAGAAAAGCAGCAGGUUAAUACCCCGCUGUUCUGACGGUACCCAAAGAAUAAGCACCGGCUAACUUCGU